AAAGAAGUUAUAUGCUGUAUUUAGACAAUAAGGAGAAUGUUUCAAGUAUGUGUAUUUGAGUACUCUGGGGAAAUAAGUUAUUACCUGUGAAAAUGCAUCAUAAACCGAAACAGAAGAAAUUGAGGAACUGCACCCUGUCCACAAUUCAAAAACUUUAAAUUCACACGACUAGGCAAACUCGGUUAAAGUGGAGAAAGAACAUUGUGCUAUCUGACACAAAAGAUCACCUGCUACGAAGACAAAGUAACAUUCUACUACCGGAAAGUAAAGAGCCUUUGAAUCAAAACAGACAACCUUUGAUACACAAAAGCUUCAAUUCCGGGUUUAAUAAAGCGCCCUGUGGAUGAGAUGCUCAAUAUUUGUUGAUGGAAGAGUGCUGGGGCUAAAACCAACGAGCAUAUUGGCAUUUGGAGAAUGAGUUAUUACUCAUAAACGCUUUCGGAGCCUCAGACACCAGCGCGGUACAUCAAGCGUAUCCAUCAAUUUGAGGGCUUUCUGGACCUCAGUUUACCCACGUACGGAAACGGGCUUGGCAAGGGCCGGGAGGUGAAAUUAAUUAGUGUUUUUAAAAUGCUCUGAGAUUCCCAAGAUGAAAGGAAACGUAGAGGCACGCAGAGAUGAUGACAAUAAUCAUAACAAUAAAAAGAAUGACUAACUUGGAAUUCUGUGUUACGUAAGGAAGCUGAGAAGUUAUCAGAUUCACACAAACAAAAGAAAAGCCCACCGCCCCUUUGUUCCCCUUCCACUUCGCCGGCCUGCAGCCGGGCCGCGGGAGCGAGAACCGGGCCGCCGAGCUGGGGCUCCCCUCCGCCGCGCACCCGCUCCAGCCGUGGGGGAGGGCGUUCCGGGCAGCUCCUCACAAAGGCGCUUCCUCCCUCCGCGCGGGAUGCGGCGCCGCAAACUCUGCUCCCCGCCGCCUCCCCGCGGGCAGGCGGGCGGGCGGGCGCGCAGGCCGCCGCGCCGCCACCGGCAAAGGCUCGGAGGAAGUUCCGCGCCGCCGGCCCUCGCGCCCCCGUUCGCCGCCCGCGCCGCACUCACCGGACGACUGCUGGUGGCCGGAACGCCAGCUCGGCCCGCCGCACGGACACCCGGGGCGCGGGGGCGGCGCGAGCACCGGUUGAACGCAGGCACCAGCGGAGCCCGCCGCCUUCCCGCCAGCCGCCGAGCCCCGCGAGGCCGAGUGGAACGCGGAGCCGAGCGCGGACUAGAGAGAGAGGCUCGGGCCCGCUUUGUGAGCUACAGCUGAGAGGAAGCUUCCAAGACAGAGGCUACAGAUGCAGGGCACAGCUCUCCAACCUCUGCAGCCAGCUGAUCCUGUAAAUGUGACAGGAGGACUUAGAUGAGACUGGGGCGUCCUCAUUUUCUCUUCCCCAUCUGCUGAGUAGCUGCAGGUGGUGGAAAUAGCAUAGAUCUUCAAACAGGCAUAAGGAGAAAGGCCGUUUACCCACCAGAAGCAAUGGCAGAGAACUAUGCGUAAGAAGCAAAUUUACAUCAUUUGGUAGAUCCAUUCUUCUCGGCCAUCUGCUCCCUGAACAGGGCUCUGCUGUAGUGAGCCUCCCUGAGGGAAGGGGACACUCUCAUACACGGAUGAGACUUGGCCAUAUGACUUGGUUGGCUACUGGACUGCAAACAGAAAUUGUAGAGAUGGAUUCAGGAAACCUCAAGGAUGGUUUCACAACUCCACCUUCGUUCUUUUCCUUGUUCUGAAGGCAGCCUGUUCAG
ensembl:lncRNA